CUGCCUGCUGAAUCCAUGAGCAGGCAAGAGACAACCUGGCGAACUGAAACAUCUUAGUAGCCAGAGGAAAAGAAAGCAAAAGCGAUUCCCGUAGUAGCGGCGAGCGAAAUGGGAGCAGCCUAAACCGUGAAACCGGGGUUGUGGGAGAGCAAUACAAGCGUUGUGCUGCUAGGCGAAGCGGUUGAGUGCCGCACCCUAGAUGGCUAAAGUCCAGUAGCCGAAAGCAUCACUAGCUUAUGCUCUGACCCGAGUAGCAUGGGGCACGUGGAAUCCCGUGUGAAUCAG
rnacentral:ncRNA from 1 species